rnacentral:rRNA from 1 species
UACGUAGGGACCGAGCGUUGUCCGGAAUCAUUGGGCGUAAAGCGCGCGUAGGCGGCCCGGUAAGUCCGCUGUAAAAGUCAAAGGCUCAACCUUUGAAUGUCAGUGGAUACUGCCGGGCUAGAGUCCGGAAGAGGCGAGUGGAACUCCUGGUGUAGCGGUGGAAUGCGCAGAUAUCAGGAAGAACACCGACGGCGAAGGCAGCUCGCUGGGACGGUACUGACGCUGAGGCGCGAAAGCUAGGGGAGCGAACAGG